rnacentral:rRNA from 1 species
GACGAACGCUGGCGGCGUGCCUAACACAUGCAAGUCGAACGGGGUAAUUCCUUCGGGGAUUACUUAGUGGCGAACGGGUGAGUAACGCGUGAGAAACCUGCCUUUCAGUGGGGGACAACAGUUGGAAACGACUGCUAAUACCGCAUAAUGUUAAUUGGGGGCAUCCCCGAAUAACCAAAGAUUUAUUGCUGAAAGAUGGUCUCGCGUCUGAUUAGCUAGUUGGUGAGGCAACGGCUCACCAAGGCAACGAUCAGUAGCCGGUCUGAGAGGAUGAACGGCCACAUUGGGACUGAGAUACGGCCCAGACUCCUACGGGAGGCAGCAGUGGGGAAUAUUGGGCAAUGGGCGAAAGCCUGACCCAGCAACGCCGCGUGAAGGAAGAAGGCCUUCGGGUUGUAAACUUCUUUUAGCAGGGACGAAUUCUGACGGUACCUGCAGAAAAAGCAACGGCUAACUACGUGCCAGCCGCCGCAGUAAGAC